rnacentral:rRNA from 1 species
CAGAGGGUGCGAGCGUUAAUCGGAAUUACUGGGCGUAAAGCGCGCGUAGGCGGCUUUGCAAGCCGGAUGUGAAAUCCCCGGGCUUAACCUGGGAACUGCAUUCGGGACUGCAUUGCUAGAGUAUGGGAGAGGGAAGUGGAAUUUCAGGUGUAGCGGUGAAAUGCGUAGAUAUCUGAAGGAACAUCAGUGGCGAAAGCGACUUCCUGGACCAAUACUGACGCUCAUGUGCGAAAGCGUGGGGAGCAAACAGGAUUAGAUACCCUGGUAGUCCACGCCAUAAACGAUGAGAACUGGAUGUCGGGAGGGUCUGCCUCUCGGUGUCGUAGCUAACGCGUUAAGUUCUCCGCCUGGGGAGUACGGCCGCAAGGUUG